ensembl:misc_RNA 7SK 7SK RNA
GGCUAUGUGAGGGCUCCAUGUUGUCAAGGCUGAUCUAAGAUGUGACUACAGGGUUGAUUUGGCAGGUCUGGCUGGCUAGCCUGGUAUUCCUUGACUCUUUCAGCACUCCAUGUGUGACCCUCCCCAAGCUGAGUGAUUAGACAACUUUCUCUAAUAAAGGAGGACCAUUGUUCAGUUCAGGGUACCCAAGUAGCUGGGGGCCCUUGCUAGAUACUCCAAACAAGCCUCCAAAGUCUAGACUAGUCCCAGUGUGCUGCUGCGUGGGCCAGUCUGCCUUUCUUU